rnacentral:rRNA from 1 species
GCAGUUAAAGCUCGUAGUUGGAUUUUGGUUAAGAGGGCGCGGUCGGCCGUUUGGUCUGUACUGCGUUGUCUUGACUUCCUGAUGAGGACAUGCUCUUGGUUAACGCGGAGACAUGGAGUCAUCGUGGUUACUUUGAAAAAAUUAGAGUGUUCAAAGCGGGCUUACGCUUGAAUAUAUUAGCAUGGAAUAACACUAUAGGACUCCUGUCCUAUCUCGUUGGUCUCGGGAUGGGAGUAAUGAUUAAGAGGAACAGUUGGGGGCAUUCGUAUUUCAUUGUCAGAGGUGAAAUUCUUGGAUUUAUGAAAGACGAACUUCUGCGAAAGCAUUUGCCAAGGAUGUUUUCAUUAAUCAAGAACGAAAGUUGGGGGCUCGAAGAUGAUUAGAUACCAUCCUAGUCUCAACCAUAAACGAUGCCGACUAGGGAUUGGUGGAUGUUAAUUGAUGACUUCACCAGCACCUUAUGAGAAAUCAAAGUUUUUGGGUUCCGGGGGGAGUAUGGUCGCAAGGCUGAAACUUAAAGGAAUUGACGGAAGGGCACCACCAGGCGUGGAGCCUGCGGCUUAAUUUGACUCAACACGGGGAAACUUACCAGGUCCAGACAUAAGUAUGAUUGACAGAUUGAGAGCUCUUUCUUGAUUCUAUGGGUG